GCGCCGGUGGUGUAAGGCGAACAUCGCUGCCCCGAAAGCAGAAGAUGCGGGUUCGAGUCCCGCCUGGCGCA
rfam:Heligmosomoides polygyrus genome assembly, scaffold: HPBE_scaffold0000145